AUUGAACGCUGGCGGCAGGCCUAACACAUGCAAGUCGAACGGUAACAGGAAGAAGCUUGCUUCUUUGCUGACGAGUGGCGGACGGGUGAGUAAUGUCUGGGAAACUGCCUGAUGGAGGGGGAUAACUACUGGAAACGGUAGCUAAUACCACAUAACGUCGCAAGACCAAAGAGGGGGACCUUCGGGCCUCUUGCCAUCGGAUGUGCCCAGAUGGGAUUAGCUAGUAGGUGGGGUAACGGCUCACCUAGGCGACGAUCCCUAGCUGGUCUGAGAGGAUGACCAGCCACACUGGAACUGAGACACGGUCCAGACUCCUACGGGAGGCAGCAGUGGGGAAUAUUGCACAAUGGGCGCAAGCCUGAUGCAGCCAUGCCGCGUGUAUGAAGAAGGCCUUCGGGUUGUAAAGUACUUUCAGCGGGGAGGAAGGGAGUAAAGUUAAUACCUUUACUCAUUGACGUUACCCGCAGAAGAAGCACCGGCUAACUCCGUGCCAGCAGCCGCGGUAAUACGGAGGGUGCAAGCGUUAAUCGGAAUUACUGGGCGUAAAGCGCACGCAGGCGGUUUGUUAAGUCAGAUGUGAAAUCCCCGGGCUCAACCUGGGAACUGCAUCUGAUACUGGCAAGCUUGAGUCUCGUAGAGGGGGGUAGAAUUCCAGGUGUAGCGGUGAAAUGCGUAGAGAUCUGGAGGAAUACCGGUGGCGAAGGCGGCCCCCUGGACGAAGAC
rnacentral:rRNA from 1 species